rnacentral:lncRNA from 1 species
ACAAAUAAAAGAAAUUAUUAAAAAAAAUUUAAUUCUAUGAAUUAAAAUUACUUACCUCCCCGGCAACGGCGCCAAAAACUUGUUGUGCAAAUUUUAAUGUACUCGCAAGCGCACGAAUCUAUUAUAGUAUAGAUCAAUGGUGACGAGUAUCGAUCCCACGAGGAGGUGGAUUUUAAUUGUGUAGAAUUAAUUUUGUGAAUGAAUGAUUGGAUUUAUGGUGGAAAUGAUUUGGAAUAUGCUAAUACUUAAAUUAAAAUGGCGAGAAUAAAUUCUAAAAUUGGAAUUGCAAUGGAGAGAAUAAAUUGAAGAGAAAAUCUAUUAAAUUGACGUACUUGGGUAUCUGGAUCCGUAUCAACAUGCAUCAUGGGCUAAAUAAUCCGUAUUAAUGCCAAUUAAAUCAUGAGGGGGGAAUCCACACCUCAUGAACCACACUCUAAUCAAUAUGGUGCUAAGGGCUUAUCGUGCCAAAUAAUAAUAACUUUAUACUAGAAGGCCGGUGAAACCAAGGCGGUACUAGACAAGAUUAUUAUUAUUUGUCGACGAGAAGUCAAAACAUCCACAAAAACUAGAGGGGAAGAGAAAAUAAAUUUACCAAAUUAAGCCCAUGACACAUGUUGAGACUUCACCUUCAACCCCAGCUUGAAAGAAAAUUAGCCACUCAUAAUUGAACUAGGGGCAAAAUGGGAAUUUAUUAAAAUACGAAGAAAAUACAAGAUGGAGAGGGAAUUACAGAAAAUGGAUCCCAAAAAUGGAUUCAGAGAUAUCAAAUUAGGGGGGGAGGCCCCUUUUUUAUAGAUACAUGGAGUAAAUCAUGGCCAUCGGAUUAAAAACAGUUUGGACGCUCAGGAUUGCGCCACGUCAUCAGUCAACAGUCCACGGUUUGACCCGACUUUGAACAGUAACGCGGUUUGACCCGGAUGAACAGUAACGCGGUUUGGUUGAAAAUAAUCCUGUGUGAUGCAUGCACCGUACGCGAGAUUUUUCGUCCACUGAUAUGCUGCCACGUCACCAUCAACAGUACAUAAGAAUUUUAGUCCAACAGGAUCGUGACACCUCAUCAGUCAAUGCCACAUCAUCGGUCAAUGCCACGUCAUCAUCCGUCUAUGUGAACAGUGUCGUGAACAGUAACGUAUACAGUACCGUACACGUGAAUAGUACCGUACAUGUGAAUAGUGCCAUUUUUCCUUUUAUGCUCCUCCUAAGGUUUUCGACCGUCCUGAGUUCAAAAGUGAUGUCCGUUUUGCCGUCUGAUCUCUCCUUCAUUGUGAAAUGACUAUAAUGCCCCUAAAAUACAUAAAAUACUUAAUUAAAAUAAAACACAUGUAAUUAAAUCACAAGAAGGUUAAAUAUAUAAAAGUAAGGGUUGUUAGUAAGACUUAAAAUGUAAAAUGACGGUUUUCUCCUUUAUAAAUAUGCAUUUUCUAACACUCAACACACCCCCCAACCAGCUUAUUGCUAGUCUCUAGCAAAUAAAGCGAAAACAAAAUUCAAAUUCAAAAUAAUUUUAUUUUUUUGUUUUAAUAGAAACACUCGUAUUUAUUCCAUCAGAUUAAUGAUAGCAAUCAAAUAAAAGUAUAAGCAUUAUCUCCAGUCUAAAGCAACAUCACACCCACAUCAACCAUCCACAUGAAUCAGCCCAGUAGGCUUUGUUAUAGCUACUUUCAAGAAUGACAUGUCAAACCCCAAAAUCUCACUGGAAGUAGUGACACUCUUACAAAUAAAUUAAACCCAAUAAAAAUAGUCACUCCAAUGAAUGGUAAUUGAGAGAAAAUAAUGAAGAAGUGAUAUCACAUGCUCUCACCAAGAUGAAAUAAAUAUGCCCUCAGCUUAAAAAUAAUACGAUCUCAAGUCAAACAAAAACUGUUAGUCAACCCAAUUUAUUUAUUUAUUUUUUUUAUAUGCACCACUACAUCUUUUUAGCCCAUAUAGGGAUGGCAAUGGGCACCGCCCGCAGCGGGUUUGUCAUUACCAAACCCAAACCCGCACAAAAUUUAAAUUACCAAACCCACCCGCAACCCGCAGCGGGUUUUAAUUUUUUUUAAAAAACCCACCCGCAGCGGGUUUUAACAAUUACCAAACCCGAAAUGGUAUCCGGCGGAUUUUUUGCGGGUUUCCGUAUUUAAAAUCACAAAUAUUUAAUAUAUAAAUUUAUAAUAAUAACCUCAAGUUCCAUAUAACAUAUUCAAUUUUAUAUUUAAACAGUGUAAAUGAAAAAUUAAAAUUUCCACAUCAAUUCAACACAAAUUCUCAAAUUUAAGUAUAAAUUAUACAAAUCUAUUUAAAAAACACAAACUAAUAUCUAAAAAUAAUAAUUACAUUUCAUAUUAUCAUUUAAAACAAGAUCAAAGAGAAUAUAUUUAUUUUAUUCACCACCAUAAGCACCCAUCUAACACAAUGCCUAAAAUAAUAAUUAAGAUUAAUAUUUUCAAAUACUAAUUCGAAGGGAAAUGCCUUUAGUUUUCUUUAGGUUAUGACUUUAGAAUAAGAGAUGAGCCAUAUACACACAUACACAACUUUGAGCCUUUUGCUAUUUGGUAAUUUGAUUAAUUACAUUAUUUUCUUUAUAUAUUUUUAUAUUUAAAUUAAAUUAAAAAUAUUUGAAAAAAAUUAUUGCGGGUUUGGUGGAUAUCCAUGCGGGUAUCCACCGGGUAUAAGGUUAAUACCAAACCCACCCGCAUCCAUAUGCGGGUUUUAAUUUAUAAUACUAAACCCGCCCGCAACGGAUAAAAUUACCCGCAACGGGCGGGUUUUGGCGGGUGAGUUUGGGCGGGUUUGCGGGUUUGCGGGUAUAAUUGCCAUCCCUAAGCCCAUAUAACUAGCUUCUACUUCGGACUAUAAUUCCCUAAAAUCAAGAAGGACUUUUAUUAGGACGUAACGUAGGCUAGGGACAUGGUUAACAAAGAAGGGAAAUAAGGAAAACAAAGUGUAUGUUUGAGAAAAAUGCAGAGAAUUUUUUUUUUUUUUUUUUGAAGUUGCAAGGUGGAUUUCACCUAUUAUUGUUAUUUUUUAUUCUUUUGAAACAACAACUUUUGUUUUGUUUUUUUUUUCUCUUUUUUUUUUUUUGCUUUUAUUUGGCACAACUUCACUGAACAAAAUAAUUAUUUACAUUUUUCUCAAACAUAAAUAGGUGAUGGACCUUAUAAGACAUCGGGUAAUACUCCAAAUCGGAGUGGGUCAAGAUGAUAAGUUGACAAAGAAAAGGUUUUCAUUUUUUUAUUUAUUAUUUUUUUUAAAGGCUCAAAAGGGUUAACUAUGGAUAUAUCACAAAAGGGAUGGCUAGAAAGGCUCAAACGGAUCAAAGAUGGCAUUUCCAUCGUCUUUUAGGGCUCUAAAUAAUCAUCCAUAUCUACUAGUUAGAUGGGCCUCCAAAUGUAGCAACACACUUUUUUUUCUUUUUUUUUUUAUUAAGGGUUAACUCAAAAGAAAUCUAGAGAUCGUGUAUACAAUAAUAAACUGUUAAGCUGUAUAAAGAAUGGGCAAAAGGGUUACUCUCCAAGAAAAAUGAUAGGCUCAAAAACUCACUUGGUACUUAUUAUGACAUGUUCAUUCCUUCAAGCAACGCAUAUUUGUCUCCGACAUCAACAUGUAGAGUAGCAAACAUAAUGUAACAUCACUUAAGACCAAAGAUAAUACAAAUACUAAAAUUUGAAAUUAAUCAUGUCAUCUAAUGUUAAAACAAAUCACAUAAUUUUUUUUUUUAAACAACAUUCUCCCCCCCCAACCUAUUCUAAACAACAUUCUACCGUACAUGUGAAUAGUGUCAUUUUUCCUUUUAUGUUCCUCCUAAGGUUUUCGACCGUCCUGAGUUCAAAAGUGAUGUCCGUUUUGCCGUCUGAUCUCUCCUUUAUUGUGAAAUGACUAUAAUGCCCCUAAAAUACAUAAAAUAUUUAAUUAAAAUAAAACACAUGUAAUUAAAUCACAAGAAGGUUAAAUAUAUAAAAGUAAGGGUUGUUAGUAAGACUUAAAAUGUAAAAUGACGGUUUUCUCCUUUAUAAAUAUGCAUUUUCUAACACUCAACAAUCAUGCGAUCUGAAUCCAUUAGGACUUGAAAUUAAUCAUGCUAGAUUCUUCAAUUUUUUUCGCAUUGAAGCCAUGAAUUUGGCCUCUAUGCAUAAGCUUUGUGUUAACAGAUGUGACCUUGAUUCCAUGUUUAGCAAUCUCUGUUGGCAAUUUUAUCAGCGGCCCACCAUGGUCAUAUGCUAGAUAUAGAAUCAACAAAACAUGCAGUCAUCUGCCCAUUGCAAAUGUUUUUAGGGAUAGUAGAAAUUCCCACAGAGACGAGAUCCCUUAGGGACUAUCCUCAUUUAAGGAGAGAAAAUAAUAGGAAAAAGAAUAUUUUGAGAAUGCACACAAUUUCCAUUUCUUUUAACUUGAAUAUAUACUAUUGUUUACGUUAUUUUACAAGCUUGCUAUAAUAUUUUAUUUUUCAAUCACAUGGUCAUUGUUUGUGUUGUGCAAAUUUUAUUGAACUCGUAAGCGCACGAAUCUAUUGUAGAAUAGACUAAUGGUGACGAGUGUCAAUCCCACGAGGAGGUGAAUUUUAAUUGUAUGUAAAAUUAAUUUUGUAAAUGGGUGGUUGGAUUUGUGGUGAAAGUGACUUAGAUUAUCCUAAAAUUGGAAUUGAAAUAGUGAAAAUAAAUUGAAGAGAAAUUUAGUGAAAUGACGUACUUGGAUAUCUGGAUCCAUAUCAACAUGCACUAUGGGCUAAAUAUUCCUUAUUAAUACCAAUUAAAUCAUGACGGGGGAAUCCACACCUCAUGAACCACACUCUAAUCAAUAUGGUGCUAAGGGCUUAUCGUGCCAAAUAAUAAUAACCUUGUACUAGGGAGCCGGUGAAACUAGGGCGAUAUCUAGACAAGAUUAUUAUUAUUUGUCGACGAGAAGUCAAAACAUCCACAAAAACUAGAGAGGAAGAGAAAAUAAAUUUACCAAAUAAAGCCCAUGAUACAUGUUGAGACAUUACCUUUAACCCAAGCUUGAAAGAAAAUUAGCUACUCAUAAUUGAACCAGGGGCAAAAUAUAAAUUUAUUAAAAUACAUAGAAAAUACAAGAUGGAGAAGGAAUUAGAGAAAAUGGAGUCCAAAAAUGGAUUCAGAGCUAUCAAAUUAGGGGGGAGGCCCCCUUUUUAUAGAUACAUUGAGUAAAUCGUGGCCAUCGGAUUAAAAACAGUUUGGACGCUCAGGAUUGCGCCAUGUCAUCAGUCAACAGUACGCGGUUUUACCACGCGGGUGAACAGUAACACGGUUUGACCCGGGUUGAGCAGUGACGCAGUUUGGUUGAAAAUAAUCCUGUGUGAUGCAUGUACCGUACACGAGAUAUUUGGUCCACUGAUAUGCUGUCACGUCACCAUCAACAGUACAUAAGAAUUUUAGUCCAACAGGAUCGUGACACCUCAUCAGUCAAUAUCACAUCAUCGGUCAAUGCCACGUCAUCGAUCCGUCUAUGUGAACAGUGUCGUGAACAGUAACGUAGACAGUACCGUACACGUGAAUAGUACUGUACAUGUGAACAGUGUCAUUUUUCCUUUUAUGCUCCUCCUAAGGUUUUCGACCGUCCUGAGUUCAAAAGUGAUGUCUGUUUUGCCGUCUGAUCUCUCGUUUAUUGUGAAAUGACCAUGAUGCCCUUAAAAUACAUAAAAUACUUAAUUAAAAUAAAACACACAUAAUUAAAUUACAAUAAGCUUAAAUACAUAAAAGUAAGGGUUAUUAAUAAGACGUGAAAUGUAAAAUGACGAUUUUCUCCUUUAUAAAUAUACAUUUUAUAACACUCAACAGUCUGCACUACACUUUGUCUCCACUUGUGUAUUCUUAAGUGCUAGCUGAGUCACUAAG